UACAGAGGUCUCAAGCGUUGUUCGGAUUCAUUGGGCGUAAAGGGCGCGUAGGUGGCGCUGUAAGUCGGGUGUGAAAUUUCGGAGCUUAACUCCGAAACUGCAUUCGAUACUGCCGUGCUUGAGGACUGGAGAGGAGACUGGAAUUUACGGUGUAGCGGUGAAAUGCGUAGAUAUCGUAAGGAAGACCAGUGGCGAAGGCGGGUCUCUGGACAGUUCCUGACGCUGAGGCACGAAGGUCAGGGGAGCAAACGGG
rnacentral:rRNA from 1 species